UCAGCAGCAUAUAUACUAAAAAAAAAAAAAAUGGAACGAUACAGAGAUUAGCAUAGCUCCUGUACAAGCAUGACAUGCACAUUCAUGAAUCAUUCCAUAUUAAA
rnacentral:snRNA from 1 species